UACGUAGGGGGCAAGCGUUGUCCGGAUUUAUUGGGCGUAAAGAGCGUGUAGGCGGCCAUACAGGUCCGUUGUGAAAACUCGAGGCUCAACCUCGAGACGUCGAUGGAAACCGUCUGGCUAGAGUCCGGAAGAGGAGAGUGGAAUUCCUGGUGUAGCGGUGAAAUGCGCAGAUAUCAGGAAGAACACCUAUGGCGAAGGCAGCUCUCUGGGACGGUACUGACGCUGAGACGCGAAAGCGUGGGGAGCGAACAGG
rnacentral:rRNA from 1 species